CAGCAGCCGCGGUAAUACAGAGGGUGCGAGCGUUAAUCGGAUUUACUGGGCGUAAAGCGUGCGUAGGCGGCUUCUUAAGUCGGAUGUGAAAUCCCUGAGCUUAACUUAGGAAUUGCAUUCGAUACUGGGAAGCUAGAGUAUGGGAGAGGAUGGUAGAAUUCCAGGUGUAGCGGUGAAAUGCGUAGAGAUCUGGAGGAAUACCGAUGGCGAAGGCAGCCAUCUGGCCUAAUACUGACGCUGAGGUACGAAAGCAUGGGGAGCAAACAGGAUUAGAUACCCCUGUAGUCCCUGUCCUUAUACA
rnacentral:rRNA from 1 species